rnacentral:lncRNA from 1 species
AGCUUCACCUUCUGAAUCAGAUUCUCUCCUCAAAACCCCCUUUUGUUUUUUCUGCUCCAAUUACACACAGCUCGUUAACCAUCCCUCUUUAAAAAUCCCCAUAAUCCUUUUUUCCCUUCAAAUUUUCGCGAAGUUAUUCUUGUUCAUCGCUGCGUUCUACUCAAAGUGAGUGGGUUAUUUACACAUAAAAUACUUUUUAAAAAUUACAGCAUGCAUGUAUCUUUUAGUUUGAAAUUUUGAACGACAUUGUGUUGAUCUUUUCUCUUUCUUGGUUUAAUUACAGUGACAAUGGACUUAGCUACUGAAGGAUGGCGGAGCAGUUUUGUUAACCCUACGGCUAAAAGGUUACAGCCCUGUAGCCCCCGAG